rnacentral:rRNA from 1 species
GAUGAACGCUAGCGGGAGGCUUAACACAUGCAAGUCGAGGGGCAGCAUAGGGUAGCAAUACUCUGAUGGCGACCGGCAAACGGGUGAGUAACGCGUAUGCAACCUACCCUGUACAGGGGGAUAACCCGGAGAAAUUCGGACUAAUAUCCCGUAAUAAUAUCCGGAGGCAUCUUUGGAUAUUUAAAGUUCCGACGGUACGGGAUGGGCAUGCGUAACAUUAGCUGGUUGGUAAGGUAACGGCUUACCAAGGCUAUGAUGUUUAGGGGUCCUGAGAGGGUGGUCCCCCACACUGGUACUGAGACACGGACCAGACUCCUACGGGAGGCAGCAGUGAGGAAUAUUGGUCAAUGGGCGCAAGCCUGAACCAGCCAUCCCGCGUGCAGGAAGACGGCCCUAUGGGUUGUAAACUGCUUUUCCAGGGAGAGAAACUUACGCACGUGUUGCGUGACUGACGGUACCUGGGAAUAAGCAUCGGCUAACUCCGUGCCAGCAGCCGCGGUAAUAUC